rnacentral:rRNA from 1 species
UACGUAGGGGGCUAGCGUUGUUCGGAAUCACUGGGCGUAAAGCGCACGUAGGCGGCCUUUUAAGUCAGGGGUGAAAUCCUGGAGCUCAACUCCAGAACUGCCUUUGAUACUGGCGAUCUUGAGUCCGGGAGAGGUGAGUGGAACUGCUAGUGUAGAGGUGAAAUUCGUAGAUAUUCGCAAGAACACCAGUGGCGAAGGCGGCUCACUGGCCCGGUACUGACGCUGAGGUGCGAAAGCGUGGGGAGCGAACAGG